rnacentral:tRNA from 1 species
GCUCAGAUGGUAGAGAAUCUGCCUGCAGUGCAGGAGACCCAGGUUCAAUUCCUGG